rnacentral:lncRNA from 1 species
ACUUUUGGUGCUCUACAGUAAGGCAGAGACCAACCAAAAAAAAGUCAAAUAAACAAGAAAUUGGUGAAAUUAAAGAAUGGGCAACCCAGCAUUUCCAAGGCUGGAUGUUCUUCAUGUGUCCUUCCUACCCAGGCAGUUUCACGCUGUGUGAGGAAUAUUUGAAUAAUACAUUGGAGUAACAUUUGGGGUUUGUUUGUUCCCUUUUGGUGAAGGAUCAAGGCCACCCUUGUGUCCCUCUUGCCAAGGUGGCUGUUUGAAGACUUUCCCCACAUGGAGAACAGCACCGUGUUGAAGUCACUCCAGGACAAGGCUGAUUUCCCCAGCGACAGCCUCCAGGAGCCCUUCCUGGCCUCCGCUGAGCCCGCAGUCACGGAGGUGGAGGAGGUGCCGGCGCAGGAGCAGCCCCAGAGCCUGGACACCAAGGCCAGGGCAGAGGUGCCCGAGCCCGGGGAGCUGCCAGGGACCGUGGUGGUCCCCAGCAGCCCGGCCCCAGGGCAGCUGGGUGCCUACAAACCCCAACUCUCCGACGGGAACGCUCUGGGAUACGUCGCUGCCGGAAUCUACCGGGCACAGCCGCCCGCGGUGGCGCCGCAGCCAGAGGUGGGAAUCUGCCCCCAGGACUACAGCAGCCCCGUCCCCACCCUGUGGGACCAGCAGGGAGGGACAGCCCAGGUGUGCCUGCUGGAGAAGAUCAACCUGGUGCUCAACAGCAGCCUGGGGUUCCCAGGGCAGGCGGGACUCGGAUCCAUCCCGCAGCAGCGCUGGGAGCCGCCCGGAGAGGGGCCCCAGCAGAUGCUGGUCCCCAAGGAGCUGCUGUCCUGCCUCAGAGCCACCAGGGAGUCUGUGGGUGCAAACCCCCACACGGCAUGGGAGGGCUGUCCUGACAGCAGCUGGAACUGGGGAUGAAGCCCUGGAGCAGCCACCAAGGCAGUGCCAGCAUCGGGAUUGCCCAUGGAAGAGCCAGAGCAAAACUCCCAAUGGAAUUUUGCCUUCUUACUCCACUGCGGGUUCUUGUGGCUGCCUGGGAAUCUUGAGCCAGCAAAUCUCAAUUUUAACCUUACCUCACACUGGCAGAAGCAAAAAAACUCAUAAAGCUUGGAUUCCUGGAAUGCCAAGCAGGAGAUUCCUGCAGGGUUCAAUAACUUCAGUUACUGCUCAGCACUGUCCUCUUGUUAAAGGUUUGGAGCACUUCAUUCCCAAAUGUUUGGAGCACUUCAUUCCUGGAGCCAAUUGCAGUCCAAAUGGAUAAAGAAAUCCCUCAGACAUCCUGGCAGAGAAGUGGAAAAUAUUUUGGGAUUGCUCCUGAUGAACAGACCAAGGAGGAUUUAUGAGUCACACAGAUAUCAAGGACAUGGAAUAUUUUCUGUAUUUCAUUUUCCUCCCACUCCCAAUAAAAGCCCACUCAGGUAAGAACA